rnacentral:rRNA from 1 species
UACGAGGGGGGCAAGCGUUGUUCGGAAUUAUUGGGCGUAAAGGGCGCGUAGGCGGUGCGGUAAGUCACCUGUGAAAACUCUGGGCUCAACUCAGAGCCUGCAGGCGAAACUGCCGUGCUUGAGUGUGGGAGAGGUGCGUGGAAUUCCCGGUGUAGCGGUGGAAUGCGUAGAGAUCCGGAAGAACACCGGAGGCGAAGGCGGCUUGCUGGGCGUGAUCGUGACGCUGAGGCGCGAAAGCGUGGGGAGCGAACAGG